rnacentral:rRNA from 1 species
AACGAACGCUGGCGGCAUGCCUAACACAUGCAAGUCGAACGAGAUCUUCGGGUCUAGUGGCGCACGGGUGCGUAACGCGUGGGAAUCUGCCCUUUGGUUCGGAAUAACAGUUGGAAACGACUGCUAAUACCGGAUGAUGACGAAAGUCCAAAGAUUUAUCGCCAGAGGAUGAGCCCGCGUAGGAUUAGCUAGUUGGUGUGGUAAAGGCGCACCAAGGCGACGAUCCUUAGCUGGUCUGAGAGGAUGAUCAGCCACACUGGGACUGAGACACGGCCCAGAAUCCUACGGGGGGCAGCAGUGGGGAAUAUUGGACAAUGGGCGAAAGCCUGAUCCGGCAAUGCCGCGUGAAUGAUGAAGGCCUUAGGGUUGUAAAGCUCUUUUACCCGGGAUGAUAAUGACAGUACCGGGAGAAUAAGCUCCGGCUAACUCCGUGCCAGCCGCCACCGUAA